rnacentral:tRNA from 1 species
GGGGAUAUAUCUCAGUGGUAAUGUGCAUGCUUAGCAUGCACAAGGUCCUGGGUUUAAUCCCCAGUACCUCCA